GUGCCUUAUUGCUAUUAUAAACUGGUUACAAUGUAAUUAGAGCAGUAAAAAUGUAUGUUUUGUCAUACCUGUGGCUAUAGCACGGCUGUCAGCCAAUCAGCAUUCAGGGUUAGAACCACCCAGUUUAUAAUUUGUAAUAGAGAUGUAUCUGUAGAAUAUUUACUGUGUAUUGGAAGAGUUUACGUCCUCGCUUCAUUCUCUACUGUGGGAGUCAUGUUCGGGACUUUGCAUUUUAUUUCACUGCCUGUGUCUGUUUUCAUUUUCAUAUUGUUCAAAAUACACUGAUGGUUGUUCAGAAAAAGUCAUACUGUGAAGGGAACACUGGAUAAGUCAAGAGAGACACAUUUCUUAAAGCCACAAAUCUGGAAUUUGUACUUGUUUUGAUAUUCAGCUGAGGGAUGUGACAUGCAAAGGGACAUGUGAGAUUUUCUCAAGACUGACUUGGUGAACAGCUGGCUAGAACACAGGAGUAUUGUCCUUAUACACAAAAACAGUAUUUCAUCACUUUCUACAUCUGCACCUGAAGAGAUUCACCACUUGUCUUCACCAUGUCUGCAGGGUAGGGUAGCCUAGUGGUUAGAGCGUUGGACUAGUAACCGGAAGGUUGCAAGUUCAAAUAAAGGUCAAAUAAAAAUAAAUAAAAAAUUUACAUAGGGAAUAGGUUUCCAUUAGAGACAGUAGGGAAUAGGUUUCCAUUAGAGACAGUAGGGAAUAGGUUUCCAUUAGAGACAGUAGGGAAUAGGUUUCCAUUAGAGACAGUAGGGAAUAGGUUGCCAUUGGAGACAGUAGGGAAUAGGUUUCCAUUAGAGAUGCUAGGGAAUAGGUUUCCAUUAGAGAUGCUAGGGAAUAGGUUUCCAUUAGAGAUGCUAGGGAAUAGGUUGCCAUUGGAGACUCUAGGGAAUAGGUUACCAUGGGAGACUCUAGGGAAUAGGUUACCAUUGGAGACAGUAGGGAAUAGGUUACCAUUGGAGACAGUAGGGAAUAGGUUACCAUUGGAGACUCUAGGGAAUAGGUUACCAUUGGAGACUCUAGGGAAUAGGUUACCAUUGGAGACAGUAGGGAAUAGGUUACCAUUAGUGAAGCACAAUGUUACUUAUUUCAAAACAUUUACAGCACUAUAGUGCUGUGAACAGGUACAAUCUUUUUUCACACCCAGAUUUUUCCUACAUACUGUUUGCUGUUCUCCAGUAUUUAUUUGUGUUGGCGGUGCGAGGGGGUCCAUGUCCUUUGUCUUGUCAAGAUAAAGGAAACAACGACUGAAUCUUAGUAGUGUUGCACCAUAACAACACGCUCUUUAAUCUCAGACAACAACAGCAUUUAUUUUGUCUUCCAAAUGGCAGCCUAUUCCCUAUGGGCUCUGGUCUAAAGUAGUGCAUUAUAUAUAGGGAAUAGGGUGCCAUAGGGCUCUGGUCUAAAGUAGUGCACGAUAUAGGGAAUAGGGUACCAUAGGUCUCUGGUCUAAAGUAGUGCACUAUAUAGGGAAUAGGGUGGC
ensembl:lncRNA